rnacentral:rRNA from 1 species
AUUGAACGCUGGCGGCAUGCCUUACACAUGCAAGUCGAACGGUAACAGGUCUUCGGAUGCUGACGAGUGGCGAACGGGUGAGUAAUACAUCGGAACGUACCUAGUAGUGGGGGAUAACUACUCGAAAGAGUGGCUAAUACCGCAUGAGAUCUACGGAUGAAAGCAGGGGAUCGCAAGACCUUGUGCUACUAGAGCGGCGGAUGGCAGAUUAGGUCGUUGGUGGGAUAAAAGCUUACCAAGCCGACGAUCUGUAGCUGGUCUGAGAGGACGAUCAGCCACACUGGGACUGAGAAACGGCCCAGACUCCUACGGGAGGCAGCAGUGGGGAAUUUUGGACAAUGGGCGCAAGCCUGAUCCAGCAAUGCCGCGUGCAGGAUGAAGGCCUUCGGGUUGUAAACUGCUUUUGUACGGAACGAAAAGCCCCGGGUUAAUACCCUGGGGUCAUGACGGUACCGUAAGAAUAAGCACCGGCUAACUACGUGCCAGCCGCCGCCGUAA